UACGUAGGGGGCGAGCGUUGUCCGGAUUUAUUGGGCGUAAAGAGCGUGUAGGCGGCUUGGUAGGUCUGCUGUGAAAACUCGGGGCUCAACCCCGAGACGUCGGUGGAAACCACCCUUGCUAGAGUCCGGAAGAGGAGAGUGGAAUUCCUGGUGUAGCGGUGAAAAUGCGCAGAUAUCAGGAAGAAUAUCCGUGGCGAAGGCGGCUCUCUAGUACGGCACUGACGCUGAGACGCGAAAGCGUGGGGAGCAAACAGG
rnacentral:rRNA from 1 species